rnacentral:lncRNA from 1 species
AGCACUAAUAUAUUAGGAGAGUGGCUGCGGAGCACCGCUGACAAUGAACCAUAAGCACCUAUGGAUAUGGUUGCUGAAUGCCGCGUGGCAUAUUAUGUACUAGGAGUGCGCGGUAUUGGAAAUUAGAUACCAAUUUUCGGUAGGGUUUCGUAUUCGGUAGUUUCGAUUAACCAAAAUUUCGAUAGACUUUAAUCUACAAAUAUCGUCGGAAAAAGAGUGAGGAAAGUCUGUAUUGAACUGUACUAAAGACCAAUAAUCUAAAUAGUAUUUAGAUUAUGAGCUAUUUCGGUAAUUCGGUAUUUACCGAAGUUUCGAUAUUUCGGUAUCGGUAUUAACAGAAGGUACCCAUACCGACGCAUUUCGAGGAAGGAGAUACCGAAAUAUCCUGCACCCCUACUACCUAUUUUUGUUCCGAAACAAAAUGAGACUUGGAUUAUUGGUAUACAAUUUACGUGACAGUGACUGGCCCUAACGUGAGAAAAUCACUGAUCUCUUAUAUAGGUAAAGAGAGAUCAGUGCGGACUGGGCACAAUGAAAUAUGGUAAUACUGGACACUCACUGCCAUGCAUGGCUGAUCGGUGUUCCGGGGAGAGAGAUAACUUGGAGGUGAAGUGCUGUCUCUCUUGCACUGGUAGAGUCUUUCAAAAAGCUUGUAGACAGGAGAUCAGGGGAUCGAUUCUGUAAUUUCAUUUCUAAAAUUUCCCACCAUCCAAGCAUUCUGAUUGUUUGACUAAAUUUUGCAAACCAAUUAGAAUUUUUGGAUGGUGGAAAAUGUCAAAAGUGAAAUUACAAAAUCGUUCCCGAGCACCCCUUUCGCAGGUGUAUUUUUUUUUUUUUGGAAAAUUAGUGACAUUACAUUUUCGAUAGUGACUGAGGGUGCAUGUAUUUCUGCGUAGUUGAAACCUUCUUUUAAAAUUGUAUAAAUCUUAUAUUGUAUCGAUCAAGUUAUGUUCACACCCUUUAUGGAUCUUCGAUCUACAAACCAAAGAGGAUUCCUUUUUGCUACAAACCAUACUUUUGAAACCAGCUGCUGCAUCAACGGUGCAGCUGAUUAAUACCGUUAUUGUGUCAACCAGCAACACAUUUUUUAAAUGGUCCUUUCAGAGAUAUCACGUUUUAUCUGAAUAUACUGCCUAUUCCCCAGAUUUUAUCAUUGCCUUAAUUUCUUAUGACCUCUCUUUUUCUAGUGCCAACAUUUAUAUGACAAGGCCUACAUGUUUCAAGAAGCAUCCUAAAAAAAAGGAAAAGGGACCUACUCACCUAUGUUAUUUCACGUGAUCAAAAUCUGGUAAAACUUUCUAUCUCAUAAUCAAUGUACCUGUUACGGACUGAAGAAUACAAACAUAUUUAUAUGUUACAAAUUAGGAUUGUUGGGUUAUAAAAGUUAUUGGGCGCACUCAGUCCAUCUGCAUGAAACCAUGUUUAUUUAAACUUAAGGUUAUAAAAGAUUAGAGCGAGAAGCUAUAAAACAAGUACCCUUUUCAUAACAUAUUUGAUUGAAAUUUAAAUAGUGUGCAUGACCUAGUACACUGUUUCAUCACCGGACUGUCUCACGAAUUGCGGGACGUCUGGCAAGCCUCACUAUAAAUAGAUAAUAAUUAUGCUGAAAGGAUCUCAUGAAACGAACCUUCCAACCUACCCAAGUUGACUCUAUGUCUUGUCUUAAUCCUCAGUAGCCUCGAUUUGAGCAUGAAACAUCCGCUGCACAAUGUGCUCUCGUUAUAAUAGACUCUGAAAACCAUGCGAGACACCGAACAAAUAGUAAUACCUAAACUGAAUUCUCUAUUGUCUACUCGAACAGGAAUUACUCAACAAUUAUUUAACAAUCAUUAUAUACAUAUAAUCUCAAAAACAGUGCUGAAUAGAACCAUAAUUCUGCGUAUUUAAUUAAUUGA